AGACAGCGCUCGGCUUCCCUCUGCGGGGAAAGGGCCUAAUUCGUUUCUCCUGACACGGCUGGGGGCAAGGGUGCCUGAGUGGAGAGAAAACGGAGCCGCUCCGUGCAGAAGCGCAGAGACACCGAAUCUUCAUUGAGAAAAUGCUUAAAACCCUGGUCUCCACGCUCGUGCUGAUCCUUGUUUCCAGCGGAGCGGUGGACGGAAAGGUUUCUCAGCCUGCUGCGCUGUCUUUGCUGGCGGGGGGCAGGGCUGACCUCACCUGUAACCACAGUGUCGCUGCCUAUGACAGAGUUAUUUGGUACUAUCAGAGCCCCAGAGCUGCCCCUCGAGCUGUGAUCUCUGGCUACAAGUCCGCGGAGACAUCGGAGCGGUUUGAACUGUCCAUUGACCCCUCCCACCAGUCUGCCCUGCUGCGCAUCACCAAGGUGGCGGUGGAGGACUUGGGGGUGUAUUACUGCACCCUGAGAGACACAACGAGGGGAAAUGCAGCGGCCAUGACCGGGAUGCUCUGCAGUGCAGAGUUAAAGUGAAGGAGCUGUGGAAUGUCUACCACAAAGUGUGGGAGGCAAACCACCACUCCGGUGCUGCCCCAUGACCUGCCGUUUCUACAAAGAGCUGGACACAAUACUUGGUGGCGCCCCACCUCCACUCCAAAGACCACCGUGGACACUUCAGAGGCAGUAGCAGGACAGAGUUCAACAAGGCAGGAGGAGGAAAGUGGGAGCGAGGGUGCUGAGGAGGAGGGGGACAGCACAGCUUCCCAAGAUGCAUGCGGCCAGGAGCUGUUUUCAAGCCAGGAGGAAGGUAGCCAGUUGCAGCAGACUGUGCUUGGGCAAAAAUAACAGUUGGUGCCCGGUAAGUGGCUUUUAUUUGAGAAGGAAGUUAUUUGGUGAAGGCUCAUGGGGGAAGAGGGUUAGGGCUGCAUGCAUGCCUAGAUGCAGUAUAGGGUGUUGAUGUGCUCUCUCACAUGGUGGUAAUCAGCCUCAGUGAAUUCUUCAAAGGUCUCAUUCAGAAGCUGG